CUCUGAUGCCUCAGCCAUGCGCCUGUGUGCCGAUUCCCAUUAAGCCUGCACCAAUUUGAUUUCCAAGACUCCAGUCAAUCCUCAGAGCUCCAGGAGGGGAGGGGCAGCUUUUCCUGGUAGCUGCUGAUCACCAGCAGAGGGAGCCCUAGGACUGCAGGGCCUCUUUCCUUACCGUUGGUGAAGCCCUUCACUGUGGCUUCAAAACUGUGGAAGACCCGGGAUUUGUGGAUCACUUGCCUUUAGAAUAGAAUCAAGAAAUAAAGCUGCAGAAGAAAGAAUCUCCAUGUGAUGAGCCCCAGAGAGGCGAAGCCACUUGAGCUCGUGAGUGACAGUCAGAUGUCAAGCCCUGCUCUUUCUAAAGCGUGCUGCCUUCAGAAAAGAAGAGCCAGAAGGAUGGAAAUUACUUCAGAAAGAUGAAUACCAGCUUUGAAGGAAUAAAAGCUGACGAGGAAUUGAAGGAGUUGAGGCACGAGCUUGAACAGGGUUGCAUGUUUGGCCCUUGAUUGUAAAUGCCCAUUGCUGCACCUGUUCCUGUUACUUGGGGAGUUGCAGCAGAAGGAACAGCGGCCUGGGACUCCAGAGAACUGGGUUCCCUCUCAUCCCUCCAGGGCCACCACUUCUUGUGGGCCCUUGGGCAAGUCACUGUACUUUCUGAGUCUCAGUUUCCCCAUUUGCAGAAUGGAAAUAACUACCCCGGUCUACCAACUUAGAAGAAUUGCUUUGAGGAUCUGAUAAGGUGGUGUGGAUGAUGCUGCCUUGGGGGCUUUACAGUCUGGAGCUCAAGGGACCCCUUAAGUUGGGCUUACUUAGUAACUCCAGGGGUGGGCAGAACAGGACUCCAAUGAGGGUUUUUUUCUUUUUCCCUUUUUUUUCUUUUCCUAUCUCUUAACUUUUAUCUUUAUUAUUUUACAAUGCCCUUGUAAGAUGAAACAAGUGAUGCUGAAAUAUCUUUUUCUUUUUUAACCUUUAUUUUAGAAUUGGGGUACAUGUGCAGGUUUGUUACAUAGGUACAGUGUGGGCUGCUGAGGUUUGGGAGUACGAAUGAAUUAGUCACCCCAGUGGUGAGCAUAGUGCCCGAUAAGUGGUUUUUUCAACCCUUACUCCCAUCCCUCUCCAUUCUUGUGUUCCCCAGUGUCUGCUGUUCCCAUUUUUAUGACCAUGUGUACUCAAUGUUUAGCUCCCACUUAGAAGUAAGAACAUGCCCAGCACUUUGGGAGGCCGAGGUGGGUGGAUCAUGAGGUCAAGAGAUCGAGACCAUCUUGGCUAACAAAGUGAAACCCUGUCUCUACUAAAAACAUAAAAAAUUGGCCGGGUGUGGUGGUGGGCACCUGUAGUCCUAGCUACUCGGGAGGCUGAGACAGGAGAAUCGCCUGAACCGGGGAGGUGGAGGUUGCAGUGAGCUGAGAUUGUACCACUGCACUCCAGCCUGGGUGACAGAGUGAGACUCCAUCUCAAAAAAAUAAAAAUAA
rnacentral:lncRNA from 1 species